rnacentral:rRNA from 1 species
CCUACGGGAGGCAGCAGUGAGGAAUAUUGGUCAAUGGACGGAAGUCUGAACCAGCCAAGUCGCGUGCAGGACGACGGCCCUAUGGGUUGUAAACCGCUUUUGUAAGAGGGGAAUCCAUGCUACGUGUAGCAUGAUGCAUGUACCUUAUGAAUAAGCAUCGGCUAACUCCGUGCCAGCAGCCGCGGUAAUACGGAGGAUGCCAGCGUUAUCCGGAUUUAUUGGGUUUAAAGGGUGCGUAGGCGGGUUGUUAAGUUAGUGGUUAAACGUCCGGGCUUCACUUUUGAUUUGCCAUUAAUACUGUAAGACUCGAGAGUAGAUGCGGUAGGCGGAAUAAGUUAAGUAGCGGUGAAAUGCUUAGAUAUCACAUAGAACACCGAUAGCGAAGGCAGCUUACCAGACUGUGACUGACGCUGAAGCACGAGAGCGUGGGUAGCGAACAGGAUUAGAUACCCUUGUAGUC